rnacentral:rRNA from 1 species
GAUGAACGCUAGCGGCAGGCCUAAUACAUGCAAGUCGAACGGUGUAGCAAUACACAGUGGCGCACGGGUGCGUAACACGUAUGCAACCUACCUUACAUUGGGGGAUAGCCUUUCGAAAGGGAGAUUAAUACCGCAUAAGACAGUAACUAGGCAUCUAGUAGCUGUUAAAGAUUUAUCGAUGUAAGCUGGGCAUGCGUCCAAUUAGUUAGUUGGCGAGGUAAUGGCUCACCAAGACGAUGAUUGGUAGGGGAACUGAGGGGUCAAUCCCCCACACUGGCACUGAGAUGCGGGCCAGCCUCCUACGGGAGGCAGCAGUAGGGAAUAUUGGGCAAUGGGCGCAAGCCUGACCCAGCCAUGCCGCGUGCAGGAAGAAGGCGUUAUGCGUUGUAAACUGCUUUUAUACAGGAAGAAACGACCCUUGCGAGGGGCAUUGACGGUACUGUAUGAAUAAGCACCGGCUAACUCCGUGCCAGCCGCCGCGGUAACAC